GAACGCAUAUUGCGCUCUUUGGUAUUCCGAAGAGCAUGCUUGUUUGAGUAUCAGUAAACACCUCAAAGCUUUUGAUUUAUUUUGAAGGCUUUGGACUUGAGCGAUCCCAACACCAAUCUUUUAAGAUCGGCGGCGGGUUGCUUGAAAUGCAGGUGCAGCUGGACAUUCUCCUGAGCUAAAAGCAUAUUUAUUUAGUCCCGUCAAACGGAUUAUUACUUUUGCUGCAGCUAAUAUAAAGGGAGUUUGGCCGUUUUGGCUGACUGAUGCAGGAUUUCACAAGGGUCGGCAACGAUUCUUGUUAAACUCGAUCUCAAAUCAAGUAAGACUACCCGCUGAACUUAAG
rnacentral:misc_RNA from 1 species